UUUCUCCUCCGGGGCGCAGCAGUGGGGAAUAUUGCACAAUGGGGGAAACCCUCCUCCCUCCCCUCCUCUUUCUUUCCUCCUUCUUUCGGUAUUUAAAUCUCCAUCAGCAUUUAAGAGAAUUACGGUACCUGACUAAGAAGCCCCGGCUAACUACUUGCCAUCAUCCGCGGUAAUACGUAGGGUGCGAUCGUUAUCCGGAUUUACUUUUUUUAAAGGGAUCUUAGACUUCGUCUCAAGUCCGGAGUGAAAGCCCACGGCCCAACCGUGGGACUGCUCUGGAAACUGUGCGGCUUGAGUGCGGGAGG
rnacentral:rRNA from 1 species